GCCCCAGUCCAGUCCAGUCUAGUGUUUACCUGUAUGGCCAGGUAUGAGGCCACUAUGCCCCAGUCCAGUCUAGUGUGUACCUGUAUGGCCAGGUAUGAGGCCACUAUGCCCCAGUCCAGUCUAGUCUAGUGUUUACCUGUAUGGUCAGGUAUGAGGCCACUAUGCCCCAGUCCAGUCCAGUCUAGUGUUUACCUGUAUGGCCAGGUAUGAGGCCAUAAUGCCCCAGUCCAGUCCAGUCUAGUGUUUACCUGUAUGGCCAGGUAUGAGGCCACUAUGCCCCAGUCCAGUCCAGUCUAGUGUUUACCUGUAUGUCCAGGUAUGAGGCCACUAUGCCCCAGUCCAGUCUAGUGUUUACCUGUAUGGUCAGGUAUGAGGCCACUAUGCCCCAGUCCAGUCCAGUCUAGUGUGUACCUGUAUGGUCAGGUAUGAGGCCACUAUGCCCCAGUCCAGUCCAGUCUAGUGUUUACCUGUAUGGUCAGGUAUGAGGCCACUAUGCCCCAGUCCAGUCCAGUCUAGUGUUUACCUGUAUGGUCAGGUAUGAGGCCACUAUGCCCCAGUCCAGUCCAGUCUAGUGUUUACCUGUAUGGUCAGGUAUGAGGCCACUAUGCCCCAGUCCAGUCCAGUCUAGUGUUUACCUGUAUGGCCAGGUAUGAGGCCACUAUGCCCCAGUCCAGUCCAGUCUAGUGUUUACCUGUAUGGCCAGGUAUGAGGCCACUAUGCCCCAGUCCAGUCCAGUCUAGUGUUUACCUGUAUGGUCGGGUAUGAGGCCACUAUGCCCCAGUCCAGUCUAGUCUAGUGUUUACCUGUAUGGUCAGGUAUGAGGCCACUAUGCCCCAGUCCUUCCAGUCUAGUGUUUACCUGUAUGGUCAGGUAUGAGGCCACUAUGCCCCAGUCCAGUCCAGUCUAGUGUUUACCUGUAUGGCCAGGUAUGAGGCCACUAUGCCCCAGUCCAGUCCAGUCUAGUGUUUACCUGUAUGGUCAGGUAUGAGGCCACUAUGCCCCAGUCCAGUCUAGUGUUUACCUGUAUAGUCAGGUAUGAGGCCACUAUGCCCCAGUCCAGUCUAGUGUGUACCUGUAUGGCCAGGUAUGAGGCCACUAUGCCCCAGUCUAGUCUAGUGUUUACCUGUAUGGUCAGGUAUGAGGCCACUAUGCCCCAGUCCAGUCUAGUGUUUACCUGUAUGGCCAGGUAUGAAGCCACUAUGCCCCAGUCCAGUCCAGUCUAGUGUUUACCUUUAUGGUUAGGUAUGAGGCCACUAUGCCCCAGUCCAGUCUAGUGUUUACCUGUAUGGUCAGGUAUGAGGCCACUAUGCCCCAGUCCAGUCUAGUGUUUACCUGUACGGCCAGGUAUGAGGCCACUAUGCCCCAGUCCAGUAUAGUGUUUACCUGUAUGGUCAGGUAUGAGGCCACUAUGCCCCAGUCUAGUCUAGUGUUUACCUGUAUGGUCAGGUAUGAGGCCACUAUGCCCCAGUCCAGUCUAGUGUUUACAUGUAUGGUCAGGUAUGAGGCCACUAUGCUCCAGUCCAGUCUAGUGUUUACCUGUAUGGCCAGGUAUGAGGCCACUAUGCCCCAGUCCAGUCCAGUCUAGUGUUUACCUGUAUGGCCAGGUAUGAGGCCACUAUGCCCCAGUCCAGUCCAGUCUAGUGUUUACCUGUAUGGUCGGGUAUGAGGCCACUAUGCCCCAGUCCAGUCUAGUCUAGUGUUUACCUGUAUGGUCAGGUAUGAGGCCACUAUGCCCCAGUCCUUCCAGUCUAGUGUUUACCUGUAUGGUCAGGUAUGAGGCCACUAUGCCCCAGUCCAGUCCAGUCUAGUGUUUACCUGUAUGGCCAGGUAUGAGGCCACUAUGCCCCAGUCCAGUCCAGUCUAGUGUUUACCUGUAUGGUCAGGUAUGAGGCCACUAUGCCCCAGUCCAGUCUAGUGUUUACCUGUAUAGUCAGGUAUGAGGCCACUAUGCCCCAGUCCAGUCUAGUGUGUACCUGUAUGGCCAGGUAUGAGGCCACUAUGCCCCAGUCUAGUCUAGUGUUUACCUGUAUGGUCAGGUAUGAGGCCACUAUGCCCCAGUCUAGUCUAGUGUUUACCUGUAUGGUCAGGUAUGAGGCCACUAUGCCCCAGUCCAGUCUAGUGUUUACCUGUAUGGUCAGGUAUGAGGCCACUAUGCUCCAGUCCAGUCUAGUGUUUACCUGUAUGGCCAGGUAUGAGGCCACUAUGCCCCAGUCCAGUCCAGUCUAGUGUUUACCUGUAUGGCCAGGUAUGAGGCCACUAUGCCCCAGUCCAGUCCAGUCUAGUGUUUACCUGUAUGGUCGGGUAUGAGGCCACUAUGCCCCAGUCCAGUCUAGUCUAGUGUUUACCUGUAUGGUCAGGUAUGAGGCCACUAUGCCCCAGUCCUUCCAGUCUAGUGUUUACCUGUAUGGUCAGGUAUGAGGCCACUAUGCCCCAGUCCAGUCCAGUCUAGUGUUUACCUGUAUGGCCAGGUAUGAGGCCACUAUGCCCCAGUCCAGUAUAGUGUUUACCUGUAUGGUCAGGUAUGAGGCCACUAUGCCCCAGUCUAGUCUAGUGUUUACCUGUAUGGUCAGGUAUGAGGCCACUAUGCCCCAGUCCAGUCUAGUGUUUACCUGUAUGGUCAGGUAUGAGGCCACUAUGCUCCAGUCCAGUCUAGUGUUUACCUGUAUGGCCAGGUAUGAGGCCACUAUGCCCCAGUCCAGUCCAGUCUAGUGUUUACCUGUAUGGCCAGGUAUGAGGCCACUAUGCCCCAGUCCAGUCCAGUCUAGUGUUUACCUGUAUGGUCGGGUAUGAGGCCACUAUGCCCCAGUCCAGUCUAGUCUAGUGUUUACCUGUAUGGUCAGGUAUGAGGCCACUAUGCCCCAGUCCUUCCAGUCUAGUGUUUACCUGUAUGGUCAGGUAUGAGGCCACUAUGCCCCAGUCCAGUCCAGUCUAGUGUUUACCUGUAUGGCCAGGUAUGAGGCCACUAUGCCCCAGUCCAGUCCAGUCUAGUGUUUACCUGUAUGGUCAGGUAUGAGGCCACUAUGCCCCAGUCCAGUCUAGUGUUUACCUGUAUAGUCAGGUAUGAGGCCACUAUGCCCCAGUCCAGUCUAGUGUGUACCUGUAUGGCCAGGUAUGAGGCCACUAUGCCCCAGUCUAGUCUAGUGUUUACCUGUAUGGUCAGGUAUGAGGCCACUAUGCCCCAGUCUAGUCUAGUGUUUACCUGUAUGGUCAGGUAUGAGGCCACUAUGCCCCAGUCCAGUCUAGUGUUUACCUGUAUGGUCAGGUAUGAGGCCACUAUGCUCCAGUCCAGUCUAGUGUUUACCUGUAUGGCCAGGUAUGAGGCCACUAUGCCCCAGUCCAGUCCAGUCUAGUGUUUACCUGUAUGGCCAGGUAUGAGGCCACUAUGCCCCAGUCCAGUCCAGUCUAGUGUUUACCUGUAUGGUCGGGUAUGAGGCCACUAUGCCCCAGUCCAGUCUAGUCUAGUGUUUACCUGUAUGGUCAGGUAUGAGGCCACUAUGCCCCAGUCCUUCCAGUCUAGUGUUUACCUGUAUGGUCAGGUAUGAGGCCACUAUGCCCCAGUCCAGUCCAGUCUAGUGUUUACCUGUAUGGCCAGGUAUGAGGCCACUAUGCCCCAGUCCAGUCUAGUGUGUACCUGUAUGGCCAGGUAUGAGGCCACUAUGCCCCAGUCUAGUCUAGUGUUUACCUGUAUGGUCAGGUAUGAGGCCACUAUGCCCCAGUCCAGUCUAGUCUAGUGUUUACCUGUAUGGUCAGGUAUGAGGCCACUAUGCCCCAGUCCUUCCAGUCUAGUGUUUACCUGUAUGGCCAGGUAUGAGGCCACUAUGCCCCAGUCCAGUCCAGUCUAGUGUUUACCUGUAUGGCCAGGUAUGAGGCCACUAUGCCCCAGUCCAGUCCAGUCUAGUGUUUACCUGUAUGGCCAGGUAUGAGGCCACUAUGCCCCAGUCCAGUCCAGUCUAGUGUUUACCUGUAUGGUCAGGUAUGAGGCCACUAUGCCCCAGUCCAGUCUA